rnacentral:rRNA from 1 species
UACGUAGGGUGCUAGCGUUGUCCGGAUUUAUUGGGCGUAAAGGGUGCGUAGGCGGUUUGGUAAGUCUCGUGUGAAAUCUCCGGGCUCAACUCGGAGCCUGCACGAGAAACUGCCGGGCUUGAGUGUGGGAGAGGUGAGUGGAAUUCCUGGUGUAGCGGUGAAAUGCGUAGAUAUCAGGAGGAACACCUGUGGCGAAAGCGGCUCACUGGACCAUAACUGACGCUGAUGCACGAAAGCUAGGGGAGCAAACAGG